rnacentral:rRNA from 1 species
AACGCGAAGAACCUUACCCAGACUUGACAUACAGUGGAAGUUAACAGAAAUGUUAACGCCCUUCGGGGCCGCUGAACAGGUGCUGCAUGGCUGUCGUCAGCUCGUGCCGUGAGGUGUUGGGUUAAGUCCCGCAACGAGCGCAACCCUUAUCGUUAGUUGCCAACAGGUAAUGCUGGGAACUCUAGCGAGACUGCCUGGGUUAACCAGGAGGAAGGUGAGGAUGACGUCAAGUCCGCAUGGCCUUUAUGUCUGGGGCUACACACGUGCUACAAUGGCCGGUACAGAAAGCAGCGAAACCGUGAGGUGAAGCAAAUCUCCAAAGCCGGCCCCAGUUCAGAUUGAAGUCUGCAACUCGACUUCAUGAAGACGGAAUUGCUAGUAAUGGCAGGUCAGCAACACUGCCGUGAAUACGUUCCCGGGCCUUGUACACACCGAGACGUA